rnacentral:rRNA from 1 species
GAGUUUGAUCGUGGCUCAGAGUGAACGCUGGCGGUAGGCCUAACACAUGCAAGUCGAACGGUAACAGGUCUUUCGGGAUGCUGACGAGUGGCGGACGGGUGAGGAAUACAUCGGAAUCUGCUCAGUCGUGGGGGAUAACGCAUGGAAACGUGCGCUAAUACCGCAUACGACCUUCGGGUGAAAGCAGGGGAAUCUCUCGGGAUCCUUGCGCGAUUGAAUGAGCCGAUGUCGGAUUAGCUAGUUGGUAGGGUAAAAGCCUACCAAGGCCACGAUCCGUAGCUGGUCUGAGAGGAUGAUCAGCCACACUGGGACUGAGACACGGCCCAGACUCCUGCGGGAGGCAGCAGUGGGGAAUAUUGGACAAUGGGGGCAACCCUGAUCCAGCCAUACCGCGUGGGUGAAGAAGGCCUUCUGGGUUGUAAAGCCCUUUUGUUGGGGAAGAAAAACAACGGGUUAAUACCCCGUU